UUUUACUUCAUCUCUGCAUCAGAAGAAGCAGUGAGUGGCCUUUCAUAAACUGAAUUAGGCUUCACUGGGUGUAGACCAGACUGGACAGCAGCAGCAGCAGCUGAAACCAUCUUCACUGGUGGAGGGAGGAGCUCCUACAGGGACACGGGCUUUGCUUCCAUUUUUCUAGCUGUGCGGAGCAGCAGGUACUAACGGCAUGCUGACUAACCGUGGCUGCGUUUGCUUUUUCACCGGGCACCACACAAGAGCUUGGGCAUUGGUGUUGUCUGCUUGUUCCAGCCACUGCUUGUGUGAGCUUGUUUUGUUUGGGGGUUUUAUUUUUUAUUUUUCUGUGCCUUGUAAUAGAAAACACCCCUUUGCAUUCGAUUUCUUGCAUCCCUAAAAGCUUUUAAGAUCCGUUCAGAAACAAUUGAUUUUUUUUGAUGCCAAAAUUAUUGAUUGUAAAAUUUUUUUGCAUCAAUUUUUUUUUCAUACUAAAGUAAGUCCUGUGGAGAGUCAGGGAAUAAAAAGUCAAGAAAGAGAAUCCUAAAGCUUACAAAAGAAAAGCAUUGCCUCUGAACCUUUUUCCUCCCACUGCUCCCAAGCCUCCAGUAGCUGGUUACUGCUGCUCUUUUCUUUCCGUGUCUAUACCUUUCUCCACAGUAGUCCCUGGCUCUGCACGGAAUAAACGAUACUCUCAAAUCUAACUGGACGUGCUUUCGCCUUUGCAUGUAAGUACAGGAGUAAGAACUCAGAUCUUUCUGUUUCAGAUUAGGGAAAACAAAUGGGGCAGAUGAGGUUUUCUUUUGGACGGUGUCCUUGACAGUCUGAGUAGUCAUUCUUUUUCCUUUUUUAUACUAAACACAUCUAUACCGGCCACAUUUAUAUUUUGCCCCACAGUUUAGGCUUUCUCUUGGUUCCAGAGGAAGUAGGGAAUUGAUUACUGAUUCCAGCCAUUGUUGAAUAUAGCAUCCUAGAAGUCAAGUAGAGGGCAUAAAGCUGGGGAAAGAUUCCCACCACCCGCAGGACAAAGAUCCAGGAAAAGAUGUCUCUGCCAGGCAGACUUUCUGCUCCGACAUUCUGGAUCUCAGUCUAUUGGCUUCUCCUUUAUGCUGGAUGCACAAUGGCCACUUCUUUUUACUCUUUGGCCUCUGCAUCUUUUGCCCAUGGACUGUGGUCCCCUGUAAUUGUCAUCCGCGCUGUGGGGUAUGACCGCAUGGUCUGGGCUCUGUGUGAAUCAGUCCAAAGGGCUCCCUCUCAGCCAGGGACAGUCUUCCACCUGGUGUUGGGUGUGGGUUUCUUGUUUUCCUCCUCUUUUAUUUUGCAACUCACCAGCAACAGCUCUCGCUUCCUCUCCAUCCUGUCCUCUCACUUUUCUGACACCCCUAAGUGUUCUGCAGAGUUGGUAUUCGGGCGUCCCCUACCCACAUAGUACUGUCUCUGUGUGGUCCUACCAGAACUGUCCAUCUGAAUCCCUCUCCUUUGCCAUUCACAAGUGUCUGGAGUUGUCCGGUUCCAAAAAGUCCUAGUUCUAUUGACAGAACAUUUAUUAUGGAGUCGUUAGCUGAAUCAUGACCUUCAGAGUCUAGUUUGUACGUAGGUAUGAAGGGAAUUUUUAAAAAUAAAUUGAAAAUUAAGCUGUGAACAGCAUUAGAACUUUUGUCUAUUUCUUGAUUUUAAAAUAUGCUGAUAAUGCCUUAAACUGUAGUUGUAGAAUUGUCAUUUUUUUUUUGCUGUUUGAAGAUAACCAAUGUUUUCUAAACUGUUGUGUAAUCUUUCAGUGUUAAUGCAGAUUGUCAUGUAUGUAAGCUGCAUGUUAGACACGUGUCUUUUUUUUAUGAACUAAAAUAAUUGUAUUGAUGUGAAGCAUACUGUUCCGACAAGUAUGGAAGUGCGGGCUCAGCAUCCUGCCGAGCAACUUGGUGUCUGUUAAUGUAGUGUGGUGCCAGGGACCUAUGCAUAUAUCACUAGUGCCAAGACUUAAAGCGGGGAAAUAUAUUUUUACCCAACCGUUGUUCUGUGUGCGCGUUUGUGAGUUCUUUCCAGUCCCUGCCUGACAUGCCUAUGUACAUACACGUGCUUGUUACGUCACAUAAAGAAAUGGGGAUGACUGCUGUCUCCUGCUUUCUUACCUCGUGUGGUGGACUUCAGUGUUGCUGGUUGGCCCAGCUUCUCCAAGUCACUUGCCCUGUGG
rnacentral:lncRNA from 1 species